rnacentral:rRNA from 1 species
CCUACGGGAGGCAGCAGUAAGGAAUAUUGGACAAUGCCCGCAAGGGUGAUCCAGCCAUGCCGCGUGCAGGAAGAAGGCCCUAUGGGUCGUAAACUGCUUUUACACCGGAGAAAACCUCCCUUCGUGAAGGGAGCUGAUAGUAUGGUGAGAAUAAGCAUCGGCUAACUUCGUGCCAGCAGCCGCGGUAAGACGAAGGAUGCAAGCGUUAUCCGGAUUCAUUGGGUUUAAACGGGAGCGUAGGUGGACUGAUAAGUCAGUGGUGAAAUCUUCGAGCUUAACUCGGAAAUUGCCAUUGAUACUGUUAGUCUUGAGUACAGUUGCUGUGGGCGGAAUAUGACAUGUAGUGGUGAGAUACAUAGAGAUGUCAUAGAACACCGAUUGCGAAGGCAGCUCACAAAGCUGUAACUGACACUGAGGCUCGAAAGUNCGGGGAUCAAACAGGAUUAGAUACCCUGGUAGUCCGCACUGUAACCGAUGAUUACUCGCUGCUAGNGGCACUUUAGUGUCUUAGCGAAGCGAUAAGUAAUCCGACCGUGGGGAGUACGCCGGCGAACGGUGAACGUACAAGUAGAGUAGACGGCGNGAGAGNGCGACGGACGACGACGAGGGGAGGAGG